AGAGUUUGAUCCUGGCUCAGAACGAACGCUGGCGGCGCGCCUAAUACAUGCAAGUCGAACGAGAAUGUGUAGCAAUACACAUGUACAGUGGCGAACGGGUGAGGACUACAUGGGUAACCUACCCUCGAGUGGGGAAUAACUAGCCGAAAGGUUAGCUAAUACCGCGUACGCCUCCCGGACUGCGGUUCGGGAGGGAAAGCGAUACCGUGGGUAUCGCGCUCUUGGAUGGGCUCAUGCCCUAUCAGCUUGUUGGUGAGGUAUCGGCUCACCAAGGCAUCGACGGGUAGCUGAUCUGAGAGGAUGAUCAGCCACACUGGCACUGCGACACGGGCCAGACUCCUACGGGAGGCAGCAGUGAGGAAUAUUGCGCAAUGGGGGCAACCCUGACGCAGCGACGCCGCGUGAGUGAGGAAGGCCUUCGGGUCGUAAAGCUCUGUCAAAGGGAAAGAAGUGCAUGAUGGUUAAUACCUGUCAUGUUUGACGGUACCCUUAAAGGAAGCACCGGCUAACUCCGUGCCAGCAGCCGCGGUAAUACGGAGGGUGCAAGCGUUGUUCGGAAUCACUGGGCGUAAAGGGCGCGUAGGCGGUUUGAUAAGUCAGAUGUGAAAGCCCACGGCUUAACUGUGGAAGUGCAUUUGAAACUGUCAGACUUGAGUAUCAGAGGGGAAAGUGGAAUUCCCGGUGUAGAGGUGAAAUUCGUAGAUAUCGGGAGGAAUACCGGUGGCGAAGGCGACUUUCUGGCUGAAUACUGACGCUGAGGCGCGAAAGCGUGGGGAGCAAACAGGAUUAGAUACCCUGGUAGUCCACGCUGUAAACGAUGUCAACUAGAUGUAGGGGGUGUUGAUCCCCUCUGUGUCGCAGCUAACGCAUUAAGUUGACCGCCUGGGGAGUACGGUCGCAAGAUUAAAACUCAAAGGAAUUGACGG
rnacentral:rRNA from 1 species